rnacentral:rRNA from 1 species
CCUACGGGAGGCAGCAGUGAGGAAUAUUGGUCAAUGGCCGGAAGGCUGAACCAGCCAAGCCGCGUGAAGGACGAAGGUGCCAAGCAUUGUAAACUUCUUUUGUCAAGGGACAAAAUCAGGCUCGAGAGCCUGACCGAGGGUACUUGAAGAAAAAGCAUCGGCUAACUCCGUGCCAGCAGCCGCGGUAAUACGGAGGAUGCGAGCGUUAUCCGGAUUUAUUGGGGUUAAAGGGUGCGUAGGCGGGCUGUUAAGUUAGCGGUAAAAGCCGGGGGGUAAACCCCGGAGAGCCGUUGAAACUGGGUGUCUUGAGAUGUCGAGAGGUAUGCGGAAUGCGAAGUGUAGCGGUGAAAUGCUUAGAUAGUGAGCAGAACUCCGAUUGCGAAGGCAGCAUACCGGCGGCGAUCUGACGCUGAGGCACGAAAGCGUGGAUAUCGAACAGGAUUAGAUACCCUGGUAGUC